GAAGGGCUAGGGGAGCAACUGAACAUAGAGGUAGGUGGGGUGGGAGCUAGGGCCCCGCACUGUGAGGACUGUGCAGACGCACAGAGCAUAGUCAGGGCAUGAGAAAGAAAGGAAGGCGACCACAGAGACCCAGCCUGGCCCAGCUCCACCGGCCAGCUCCAACCUCAGAAAGUUGGUUCCCUACUCAGGACCCUUGGUUUUCCCUCUCUAAGCAGUGGCCAGCGAGGUCAUUCUGCGAUGCUUCUGAGGACCGACAGCCACCUCAGGGCCACCGCCAACAAAUGGAGCCCAAAAUCCAACAGAACACAGACCAAAGAUUCUAGUUAUGAGAGAACAUGGGAGAG
rnacentral:lncRNA from 1 species